rnacentral:rRNA from 1 species
UCCUGGCUUAGGAUGAACGCUGGCGGCGUGCCUAACACAUGCAAGUCGAACGAAGCACUGUCGAUGGAGAUUCGUCAAAAUUGACUUUGACUUAGUGGCGGACGGGUGAGUAAUGCGUGAGCAACCUGCCUUUCAGAGGGGGACAACAGUUGGAAACGACUGCUAAUACCGCAUAAUGUAUUUAGGAGGCAUCUCCCGGAUACCAAAGGAGCAAUCCGCUGAAAGAUGGGCUCACGUCUGAUUAGCUAGUUGGUGAGGUAACGGCUCACCAAGGCUGCGAUCAGUAGCCGGACUGAGAGGUUGAACGGCCACAUUGGGACUGAGAUACAGCCCAGACUCCUACGGGAGGCAGCAGGUGGGGAAUAUUGGGCAAUGGGCGAAAGCCUCGACCCAGCAACGCCGCGUGAAGGAAGAAGGUCUUCGGAUUGUAAACUUCUUUUAUGAGGGACGAAGGACGUGACGGUACCUCAUGAAUAAGCCACGGCUAACUACGUGCCAGCCGCCGC